rnacentral:tRNA from 1 species
GGGAUUGUAGCUGUGUGGUAGAGCAUGUGCUUUUCAAGCACAAGGCUCUGGAUUUAACCUCCAGUGCCA